AACCGUGGUAAUUCUAGAGCUAAUNCAUGCUAAAAACCUCGACUUCGGAAGGGGUGUAUUUAUUAGAUAAAAAACCAAUGCCCUUCGGGGCUCCUUGGUGAUUCAUAAUANCUUAACGAAUCGCANGGCYUUGUGCCGGCGAUGGUUCAUUCAAAUUUCUGCCYUAUCAACUUUCGAUGGUAGGAUAGUGGCCUACCAUGGUUUCAACGGGUAACGGGGAAUUAGGGUUCUAUUCCGGAGAGGGAGCCUGAGAAACGGCUACCACAUCCAAGGAAGGCAGCAGGCGCGCAAAUUACCCAAUCCCGACACGGGGAGGUAGUGACAAUAAAUACUGAUAUAGGGCUCUUUUGGGUCUUGUAAUUGGAAUGAGUACAAUUUAAAUCCCUUAACGAGGAACAAUUGGAGGGCAAGUCUGGUGCCAGCAGCCGCGGUAAUUCCAGCUCCAAUAGCGUAUAUUAAAGUUGUUGCAGUUAAAAAGCUCGUAGUUGAACCUUGGGCCUGGUUGGUCGGUCCGCCUCACCGCGUGCACUGUCCGACCGGGUCUUUCCUUCUGGGGACCGCAUGCCCUUCACUGGGUGUGUCGGGGAACCAGGACUUUUACUUUGAAAAAAUUAGAGUGUUCAAAGCAGGCCUAUGCUCGAAUACAUUAGCAUGAAUAAUAGAAUAGGACGUGG
rnacentral:rRNA from 1 species